rnacentral:lncRNA from 1 species
AGUUGCUAACGAUGGCUUGACCGUUAGCAGCGGGAAAUUGAGGAGAAGGACAUGCUACGAGUGCGGACAAAAGGGUCAUAUCUCUUCUGCUUGCCCAAAUAAGAAAUCUGCAGAAACAACAAAUACAAACACAAAUUGACCAUUAAUGGAAGGUCUUUUUUUUUUUUCUCCUAUCACUUGAAUUAUUGCUACUAUUUACAUGUGAGUCCUGCUGUACUUACAAAUUGGUAAAAUUUUGAGGAAAAAAUAGAUGCUAUUUAUAUGAGCUUCAACCAUUGAAUUUUUGGAAGCUUCAAAGGCUGUCAAAAUGUUUCCAUGU